rnacentral:rRNA from 1 species
UACGUAGGGUGCGAGCGUUGUCCGGAAUUAUUGGGCGUAAAGAGCGCGUAGGCGGUCCGAUAAGUCUGCUGUGAAAGUCCAGGGCUCAACCCUGGAAUGCCAGUGGAUACUGUCGGGCUAGAGUACGGAAGAGGCGAGUGGAAUUCCUGGUGUAGCGGUGGAAUGCGCAGAUAUCAGGAGGAACACCGAUGGCGAAGGCAGCGCGCUGGGACGGUACUGACGCUGAGGCGCGAAAGCGUGGGGAGCGAACAGG